rnacentral:lncRNA from 10 species
GCUGUAACAACUUUAUUUCAGAAUGACUGCAGGAAGGAAUUUCAUAGGUAAACAACUAAUUUAUAGCUCUAUAUCACAAUAACACUGAAUCAGAAACACUUCAUCCCACAUAAAAAUUUGGCCUGAUCAUUUUUUGAGUUUUAAUCCUCUUAAGUUUCACAUUAUAGAACUGAAUACACAAAAACACUAACACAGCUGGGGGAGACAAUGGUUUAUUGAUCAAGAGAAAUUAUUUCUAGCAAUAUCUCACUUGCCGCGAGUUCACAAAUAUGACAACUGCAGAUGAGGAUAAAGAAGUAAGUUAGGGGAAGAGAGUUGAGCCACUGAAAUAAUGUCACCAAGUCAAUGUAGCAAAGUACAUUCAUUUUUAUUGCUAGAACAGCCUCUCAAAACCUCAUUCAAAUCCUCUCUACUCUUAUUCAACAUAUAGUAUGCAGUUACACAAUUUCCCAACCCCAGGGCAAAUUAGAGAAAGCUUCCUAGAGGUAGGCACAGUAAUGGGAGAGAUAAAUGACAGAUAAAAGUGAGGGAAAAGAAAAACUCUAAAAACCAUGGUAGAACUCAAAGAGCAAAUGUAUCUGGAGCCUUCAGUGUAGGGACUUUAACAAAACUAAGUAGGGCCUGAAAGAAUUAAAAACAUAUAUGACGACUCUGAAAAGAUUUAAUUAUCCCCAGUAGACUGUGUUUGCAAAAGCAGAGAAAUGUAUACUAAAUUAAGAAAUAGUUUGAUGUAAAUGAUUGAAAUAAAGUAAAAAAGAUGUGCAAGUUAAAAGAAUAACCUUGAGUUUUCUACACCAUGCACCGCACAAUGUCUGAUAAACAAGUAUCAGUACAUAUAUACUGCUUAUAAAAUACACAAAGUAGUUCAUAGAAAAAGAAUACAGCACCUUUUUCAUCCAUAUAUGACUGAAACUAUAAAAGCCCCUUCCUGGUAAAAGCACCUCAGUCAUAUAGGGAUAGUUCAAGUCAGCUUCUCUCUGCAUAAGAACUUUAUACUGUGUCCUGAAUGAUCAACUGAAAUUCCACGAAUCAGAAUCGCUGGGGAAAGGGACUGAGAACCUGCACGUUAGCACGUUGCCCCAAAGAUUUCUGGUACAUGUGAAGUCUGAGAAUCACAGGGUAAAUCAUCGCCUUGAAGACAGGAGGAGACUGGCCAGGUCUGUGAAUUAACCCUUUCCCACUCUUGUUUCUAGUGUGCCCAAUAAGCCUGUACUCCUGGUUUUGACAUUUCUUAAGCUACACAGUACAGAAUAAAAAACAUGGACUUCUAAAUGUUUUAUCACAAAACAUAUAAUUUAAAAAAAUUAACAAGCCCUAAUUAAUUCCAAAAAGAGGACAGACACAGUGGCUCAAGCCUGUAACCCUGCCCUGAUUUUUAUCUUAAGAAGAUGAAUUUCAAAUUAUUACCUCUCUUCAAGAUUUUUU